GCCAGACUCCUACGGGAGGCAGCAGUGGGGAAUAUUGCACAAUGGGGGAAACCCUGAUGCAGCGACGCCGCGUGAGUGAAGAAGUAUUUCGGUAUGUAAAGCUCUAUCAGCAGGGAAGAUAAUGACGGUACCUGAGUAAGAAGCCCCGGCUAACUACGUGCCAGCAGCCGCGGUAAUACGUAGGGGGCAAGCGUUAUCCGGAUUUACUGGGUGUAAAGGGAGCGUAGACGGCAUGGCAAGUCUGAAGUGAAAGCCCGGGGCUCAACCGCGGGACUGCUUUGGAAACUGUUAAGCUGGAGUGCAGGAGAGGUAAGUGGAAUUCCUAGUGUAGCGGUGAAAUGCGUAGAUAUUAGGAGGAACACCAGUGGCGAAGGCGGCCUGCUGGACGAUGACUGACGUUGAGGCUCGAAAGCGUGGGGAGCAAACAGGAUUAGAUACCCUUGUA
rnacentral:rRNA from 1 species